GAGGGUAGAGCUCAGUGGUAGAGUGCUUGCUCAGCAUGCAGGAGGUCCUGGGUUCAAUCCUCAGUACCUCUG
rnacentral:tRNA from 1 species